rnacentral:tRNA from 1 species
GCAUCUGUAGCUCAGUAGGAUAGAGCGGCGGUUUCCUAAACCGUGUGUCGGAGGUUCGACUCCUCUCAGGUGCACCA